UUUUUUAUUUCACAAUCACACGUGCAGCGUUCGUCUCGUCCGUUACAUUGAGUACAGCGUAAUAUUAUGUUGUUCUCGUUUUCGCCCGAAGACGCGAUAAAAAUAUAAUAAUAUUAUUAUUUAGGUGUACGAUAUAAUAACAUAAUAGGUACGUUACACUCGCGCGAAAAAACUACGUAAUGUUCGGCGACAAGAACGAAUUUUUCCCGAGUUUUCGCGAAUGAACUCGAGCUGGACGAGAUUUGUUUUUUUGUAAACUCUGAGCGGAGCGAUUGACGUAUUGGUUUUACAAUACCAUGUUCGUUUUCAUGAUUUCUAUUUUAUU